ensembl:lncRNA
CAUGCUGCCAGGUGACAAACUCAGAGACGCUGCAUUAUCACUGUCAAGGCAGCUUUGCAGAGAGCUCUACCAUCAAGGCCGCCACAGGAACCUGGGAGGGCCAGCAGCAUGGGGAGGGCCGUGUGUACAGAAAGAAGGCUUGAAGGUGCCCUUACAAGGCCAGGGCUCCCCACAGGAUGGCAAGAGGUGUGCACAGAGAACAGACAUGGUGCAGUGGGAUGGCAUGGCGGAGUUCCCACCUGCCUAUGGCCCUGAGCGGCGGCGUGGCUGACUCAGGGAGUUUAUUUUAGUUUGCUGCUAGGUGUCAGCUCUUCUAAGACACAAGCUGUGCUGGUAAAACAAAAGGAAGCUGGGCUUGCUUGCAAAGCGACUUGAUAAUAUCAACAUGCCUAACAUCUCUCGUCUGCUCCUCCUUUGUCUGAGAGAUGGGGGAAAGGUGGGAGCAAAGCCUGUCUGUGUCACCUGCACUUGAGCAGCAUGUGAGGCCUGCAGACACUUCUCCUGUUGACUGGCCUUUGGGUGGCAGAUGCGUUCCCCGAAUCACAGCACGGCAUGGAGUGGUGAGGAGGGGCUUUGGCGAUUCCCUGUCCUCAACACACACACGUUACACCUCCGAGGGCUCACGCUACCAUACAGGUGAAGGGGAGGUGGGCAAGACUGAAGGUAUGUGAUUUACGUGUGGAAAUGUGUAUGCAUUUAGAAUACAUCUAUAUCUUUACAUUUCAGGUUAUAUAGAGCAUGCAUAGCACAUGUGUGUGUAUAUAUCUAUAUGUUGUAAUAUAUACAUUAAAUUGUGGAAUCCAGGCAGAGACUCAUUUCUGUUUGAUUCUAAACAGAAUGGUUUUCAACAGAGUGAAAUCCUUAAGAGUACAGACUCAGCCGCUUACUGUCUGUGGGACUUCUCUUUUGUUCUUGUCUCUCAGUUUCCUCAUCUCUCAAGUAGGCAAAAUGGGAUAGUUACCUGUCUAUUGUGAGGUUUGAUGUGUAGUCAGACUGUAUCAAGUUAGUGAUUGUUAGUAUUUUCCUCUCUGAGGCCCUCAGAAGAUGAACUCAAAUGUCCUCAGCUUCCAGCUUGUCUUCCAGGGCCCUUGGAGCCUCAGGAUGGGUGGGGCCUGCGUGCAGGGUCAGGCCUGGGCUCCACCUCCCUGUGGGCUGGGCCGGGUCCUCAGCCCUGGGCUCUGUUUGUGCAGCACACGGGUGGGGCACUGCGCUCUACCUGAGUUUCUGAACUGAGUUUAAAAAUUGAUAGGGGGAGGGUGGGCUUUUCUCUGGCAGUAAGACCAGAGGUGGUGGAAGAAGGAAGUGAGAGAGAAGAGAAGAGAGCAUAGGUGGUUCCACACCCCAAGGGAGGAAGCUGCUGAACGGUGUGUCGUGACUGGGCUGUGCAUCACCCUGCCUGAAAUUCCAACCUCACCUCUUCACUGACACGGUCCCAUCCACAGUCCUGCUGUGAGCAGAGGACCCAGAGCACCUCCCCACCCUCUACCCACCCCAGCCACCUGCCAAGGCAGCCCGGGCCCCCAGCACCUUUGUCCUCAGGGGCUCCUCGUGGCACGUGCUGAUGAACUAGGCUGCUCUGGAACCAAGUGUCGUUUCCGAGAGGCCUCUGCUGGGUGAGGAGGAAGAAGGGCCAUUGGAACCACAGAGGAGUGUGCUGCAGCAGGGACAGCUCUGCCUCCUUCUUUGAUCAUGAGGCUGCAGACACUCUUGGCAAAAUCUGAGCCACCUCCUAAUUGCUAAGUCCAGUGAGGCACUUUUCUCUCUUUCUGUCUCCUGCUGGCAACCUGCAGUGCUGCUGACCACGUCCAUCUUUCUUCCUGUCCUGUUCUCCUCCCACCUCCCUCCCAUUCCACCUGGCUUUGCCUCCUUUCCAAAUGUCUAGCUCUGCUACUCCAAAGUUUCCCCUAUCUCACACAGAUGCCACGUGGUCACCUCGCCUUCAGCCUGCGUGGUAGACGUGGUCCUGGCACACACUGUGAGAAGACGUGCCAUGUUUUAGAUUACUUGAGUUCGGUCCAGAGAACCAGUCAAGGAACCUCAUACCCCAGCCAAGCAGGGAUCCCGGCAGCGUGCCAGGACCUCAGCUGAGGUGCCGUGCCUGCCAGCAACAUUGGAGAUCCCUGGGGUUUCACUGUCCUCCUGACCUGGGCUCCUCGUUUGCAUUUAGCUGUGCCUAUUGAUCAUAUACAGAUGCUCAUGGAAGGAAAUGAGAAACAAACAGUCUCCAAUUCAGGUAGCAUGUACAAAGCACAAACUGCAAGGUGUUAGCAUUUCUAGGUUCUUGGAAGGGGCAGCAAGUAUACAAAAAAGAAUUUUCCAAGUGUUCACUCUGAGUUGGGCUUGAGAAAAUACGCAGUUUCACUGUUGCUUAACCAGUGCCAUGUUGUCAAAUAGAGUGAUCCCAGGAUCUUCUCCAAGGAUGUACUUUGCCAGCCCUUGGAAGCCCUGACAUUUUGCUCAACAUGCUUUUGGUUAUGUUUUUAUGAGACAGGCAACAUUCCACCCCUGUUGGUUCCAAAAUUCACAGCUCAGUAUGUUUUCCAGAAAUCAUUUUAAUAAAAGACAUGUGAAAAGUCAAACACCUCUUUAGCAUCUGUACAAUGAAAUUAAAAAACAGUUACAAAAAUACAAAGCAUCUGGUGGGAGAAUCCACUAUCAAGGGGCCAAAGGAGAAUCCACACCCAGUUCCUGGGUGAGAUAUCAGCUUCCCUGGAGGGACAGCGUGAAUGCUACCUUCCAAAACAUUUCCUUAUAAAGGGGAAGCAAAGGAUGCCAAGAAACGACACAUUUAAUUGGUUUAAUUAAAUGAGUUGAAUGCAUGUUUUCCUUCUGUCAUGGUAGCUAACUAGAGGUUUCUGGUCUGAUCACUCAACCCCACCACCCUUUACUCUUCUCAGUCUCUGGUCAGUCCUGAAAUCCUGAAAAUAAGAGUUCCUGUAUGCUGAUGGCCUCAUCUGGACGAGUUUCUAAGUCUUGGUAUUGGAUUCCUGAACUUCUGAAAAGGCCUGUGUGAAACCCUCUUGAAUACUGUGAAUGGGGCUAUAAAUAAGUGCAAACUUUAUGGUGGAAAAUGUCAUCAAAUCUGUUAAAAUAAAAUAUACUCUUUGACCAAGAUUUAUGAAUUUAUAAUACUGAUAUGUUUGGGGUCUGUAAAGAUGAACACAUGUGAGGUAUAGCACAGUCUUGUUUGCAAAAACCCAACUUUUCAUUGAGAGGGAACUCAUUCAACAAAUUGUGCUACAACAGAGCACUGGAAUCAUAUGGCAUAAUCUAUGCAAUAAUGUGCUGCCC